rnacentral:rRNA from 1 species
AAGACCUGAGGGGUACGUCCGGGGUAGGAGUGAAAUCCUGUAAUCCUGGACGGACCACCGGUGGCGAAAGCGCCUCAGGAGGACGGAUCCGACAGUGAGGGACGAAAGCUAGGGUCUCGAACCGGAUUAGAUACCCGGGUAGUCCUAGCUGUAAACGAUGCCCGCUAGGUGUGGCGCAGGCUACGAGCCUGCGCUGUGCCGUAGGGAAGCCGAGAAGCGGGCCGCCUGGGAAGUACGUCUGCAAGGAUGAAACUUAAAGGAAUUGGCGGGGGAGCACUACAACCGGAGGAGCCUGCGGUUUAAUUGGACUCAACGCCGGACAUCUCACCAGCUCCGACAGUAGUAAUGACGGUCAGGUUGAUGACCUUACCCGAUGCUACUGAGAGGAGGUGCAUGGCCGCCGUCAGCUCGUACCGUGAGGCGUCCUGUUAAGUCAGGCAACGAGCGAGACCCGCACUCCUAAUUGCCAGCAGUACCCUUUGGGUAGCUGGGUACAUUAGGGGGACUGCC